rnacentral:lncRNA from 1 species
GGGUUGGCAGCUCCACGCCUUUUCCUUUUUUUCGUGCCGCUUUCUGCGCCAAGCUGCUGUUCUGCCGAUGGACGUGGUGGAUUAACGGUCGGAUUGUACUACUUUUAUUUUUCUUUUCUUUUGCUCCUCCUAGGUUUUUUCAUUGCGUAAAGCAAUAGUACAUGGCUUGACGUAUAAACUUUUUUGUGAGUGCUUUUUAUGGCCUUUUGUUUUCUUGUACGACAGGGUGGUGCUCACAUGGGAUCUAAGUUGAUUAGGAUGGGUUAUGGGCAUAUUUGUCACUCUAAAAUCUAAAUAAGACAUGGUUUUUGCUUUUUCGUGUACUAUCUCAGCGGCGAGAUGUGAAAAGCAAAAAAGUG